rnacentral:rRNA from 1 species
AGCGAACGCUGGCGGCAGGCCUAACACAUGCAAGUCGAACGAACCUUUCGGGGUUAGUGGCGGACGGGUGAGUAACACGUGGGAACGUGCCUUUAGGUUCGGAAUAACUCAGGGAAACUUGUGCUAAUACCGAAUGUGCCCUUCGGGGGAAAGAUUUAUCGCCUUUAGAGCGGCCCGCGUCUGAUUAGCUAGUUGGUUGAGGUAAUGGCUCACCAAGGCGACGAUCAGUAGCUGGUCUGAGAGGAUGAUCAGCCACAUUGGGACUGAGACACGGCCCAAACUGCGACGGGAGGCAGCAGUGGGGAAUCUUGCGCAAUGGGCGAAAGCCUGACGCAGCCAUGCCGCGUGAAUGAUGAAGGUCUUAGGAUUGUAAAAUUCUUUCUGCGGGGACGAUAAUGACGGUACCCGGAGAAGAAGCCCCGGCUAACUUCGUG